CUCUCUCUCUCUCUCUCUUUCGUCGUGCAUCCUCGUUUUCAUUACGUCGACGCGCGUAUCACGUCGACGGGUCGGCCGCGCGACGUCUCGCGGCCUCGGGAGAGCGAGAGCGGUAGUCUAUCUCGCGGGACGCGCGACUCCUCCGCAAAGUGUCGUCCGCGCGAUAUCGAGCUCUCUCGCGCAUUCAUACCGGCCGCGAAGUUGAACACAACAUUGUGAUUAUUCAGCGAAAAAAGAAGGUGGUUGCCGCGGCCGCACCGGCUGACAGGCGUUUUGUGCGGACCACGCGCGGCGCGAAUAAUAAGCUACGGCGCGCCGCGUCUUCGAGUGCAAGGCGAUCUAGAUCGCUCUCGAAUGUCGAGAACAUGUAAAUUGCGCAACGGGCGCUUCGCAUGAAGACACUAGUGAACGUGUAAGGAAAACGUGAGUGUGACUAACAUUGGUGCCAUAAUAAAGCGUGUGUGUACGUGGCUCACACGAGGCACCGACCGACGCGAGAGCUUAACUGACAUAUAAAUAGCGCGUUUAAAGAGAGCCGGCUAGAACUUUCCCGCGUGUACGUCUUGCGAGCUCGUCAGGAAGGCGCGAGUCGCUUCCCGAGGAGGAUCGCGCGACUGGAGCGGAUCCAGCGAUUGGGUCGGCCUUGCGCGUGAUCGAGGAGAACAUCUCUCUUUCGGAGUGCGACUAAUUCGUUAAUUGCUGUUUUGUUUCAUCGAUAUUCGCGACGAAAUUCAGUGAUGUGAGUGAAUAAAUACGUGAUGUAAAGCGUACUUGGAAUCUCUGUUGACAGUUGCGUCGCUUGUGAUUCUUAAAUCAAAAUUGCCCCUUCAGAAUGUAAGCUCUAUAAAUUGAGCUAAUUGCGUUCGCUAAUUGGAAAUUAAAGUGACUUCUUCUUCGCGAAAAUUCAAAAAUCUGUUAUUAAAAUCAAGAAUCUGAUUAGAUUAUGUGAAAAUAUGACUUUAGAUUUUAAAACUUUAAAAUGCACUUUAACAAGAAUUUGGAACCUCAGGCAAUAGUAAACAGGAACGAAGCUCGUUGAGUAAAUUAUUGUGUUUACGUAAUAAGUAAUCGAAUCAAGUUCCGAUCGAGCACUGCGUGCUAGAGCACCGAUCAAUAUGUAAAUUUUACAACAGUUUUUCUCUCGAGACUAAUUUUCGUCGUUUCGUGCGUC